rnacentral:rRNA from 1 species
CACAUGCAAGUCGAGGGGUAUAGUAGCAAUACUAGAGACCGGCGCACGGGUGCGUAACGCGUAUGCAAUCUACCUUUUGCAGAGGGAUAGCCCAGAGAAAUUUGGAUUAAUACCUCAUAGUAUAACGACUCGGCAUCGAGAUGUUAUUAAAGUCACAACGGCAAAAGAUGAGCAUGCGUCCCAUUAGUUAGUUGGUAAGGUAACGGCUUACCAAGACUACGAUGGGUAGGGGUCCUGAGAGGGAGAUCCCCCACACUGGUACUGAGACACGGACCAGACUCCUACGGGAGGCAGCAGUGAGGAAUAUUGGACAAUGGGCGCAAGCCUGAUCCAGCCAUGCCGCGUGCAGGAUGACGGUCCUAUGGAUUGUAAACUGCUUUUGCACAGGAAGAAACAACGCUACGUGUAGCGUCUUGACGGUACUGUGAGAAUAAGGAUCGGCUAACUCCGUGCCAGCAGCCGCGGUAAUACGGAGGAUCCAAGCGUUAUCCGGAAUCAUUGGGUUUAAAGGGUCCGUAGGCGGUCUUAUAAGUCAGUGGUGAAAUCUCCCCGCUCAACGGGGAAACGGCCAUUGAUACUGUAGGACUUGAAUUAUUAGGAAGUAACUAGAAUAUGUAGUGUAGCGGUGAAAUGCUUAGAGAUUACAUGGAAUACCAAUUGCGAAGGCAGGUUACUACUAAUGGAUUGACGCUGAUGGACGAAAGCGUGGGUAGCGAACAGGAUUAGAUACCCUGGUAGUCCACGCCGUAAACGAUGGAUACUAGCUGUUGGGCGCAAGUUCAGUGGCUAAGCGAAAGUGAUAAGU